GAUGAACGCUAGCUACAGGCUUAACACAUGCAAGUCGAGGGGUAACGAGAGGAAAGCUUGCUUUCCUUGUCGACGACCGGCGCACGGGUGAGUAACGCGUAUCCAACCUGCCCCCAACUAAGGAAUAACCUUGCGAAAGUAAGACUAAUACCUUAUAAUUUCCUCAGAUGACAUCUGACGAGGAAUAAAGAUUUAUCGGUUGUGGAUGGGGAUGCGUCUGAUUAGCUUGUUGGCGGGGUAACGGCCCACCAAGGCAACGAUCAGGAGGGGUUCUGAGAGGAAGGUCCCCCACAUUGGAACUGGGACACGGUCCAAACUCCUACGGGAGGCAGCAGUGAGGAAUAUUGGUCAAUGGGCGGAAGCCUGAACCAGCCAAGUAGCGUGCAGGAUGACGGCCCUAUGGGUUGUAAACUGCUUUUAUACAGGAAUAAAGUUAGCCACGUGUGGUUAUUUGUAGGUACUGUAUGAAUAAGGACCGGCUAAUUCCGUGCCAGCCGCCGCCGUAA
rnacentral:rRNA from 1 species